GAGUGAGGAGUAUUGGCAGCAGCAGGCAGGCGGGCAGGCUGGGAGUUUGCAUGGAAAUCAAGAAGUCUUGUCUUUCUCUUUUCAAAUGUUUGGGAAGGACAGUUAAGAAUAGCUCAGAAACUGGUCCCGUUCUUUUUGUGGGGAGAAUGACCAGAAGCAUAGAAGCUAAGUCUUCCAGCAAGUACAAGAUACCUCUUUCGGUGUUUGCAGUAAACCUAACAGAAUGACUGGCUGUCUGUAAAGGACUGUGCCAUGACACCUCAGAUGAAGGGAAUGGUAAAGCAAAGUAAUGACUCAAAGGCUACCACGGAGCUUCUACCUUUAACUCAUUGUGGCAAAGUUGGACAUUCCAAAGAUGGCGUAAAUGAACAUGACCAGAAAGAGCAGGAGGCCGAUGUUAAACAACGCAGGAAGGGACAUCAUCAAAGCAAAGAGCAGCGUGCGGAUCCCCUUGGCCCCUUUGAUCAGACGCAGGAUUCGGCCAAUCCUGGCAAGACGGAUCACUCGGAACAGGGCCUCUCACUGUUGUGGCCUCUCUGGUGGCAGAGCACAGGCUCCGGACGCGCAGGCCCAGUGGCCAUGGCUCACGGGCCAUGGGCAUAUUUUGAUAAUAAAAGAAGGUAACCUGUGUAAAAGUGGUCACAUAUGUCUGUGCCUGGUUAAAAGCACAGAGCUGCAUCUUGAUGGAUCCAGUUUGUUUUUACCCCUGUGAGAAGUAAGAAGGUCAGGUACUGAAGUCUGUAAAUGCAGCAUGAUGGAACAGUUUAAUCAACAGAUUUGAAAUGUUUAAAGACAUAUACCUACAACCUCCUGGGAUACCUGAUGAACAGUCUAAUGCUAGGUUGACCAACUAAACCAAACCAACAUGGUGGCUUUGAAAACUGAAUUGAGUCACUGAAGAGCAUCUUAUCCCAAUUAUCUCCUGCCUCUAAGCUUGAAAAUUCCUACCAACGGCACUCGGAACACAAUCAGGAAGGAGUGGAAGAAGUCAUUCAUGUGCCAGCGUGGGAGUGUGCAGUCUUCAUUGAUCUUACAGACACAUUCUUUGUAGCUCUUACCAAAGAGCUGCAUGCCGACCACGGCAAAAAUGAAGACGAUGAUGGCCAACACCAAGGUUCAGCAAUAACAGAGGCAACUGUAAUGACUGUUUCUCACUGCCAAGGAAGAUCUCAUGAACUGCUCUGAGGCUAUGAGGAUAAAUGACUCAGUUGGAAAAGGACAAUUAAGACUGAUGGAAACUGUAGGAAAAUGGAGAAUAUAAGCUCCAUCUAAAAGAGGUGACCACUCUCCAGCUCUAAAGCAUUGCUGCUAUGCAGGAAUAUGAGCUCAGUCUUACCAGCACUUUUAGAGCUCAUUUUGGAUGUUUCGGAAGAACUCUCGGAGAGGCCCAUUAUCCGGCUUCUCUCAAUGCUUGUAUAUUCAGCUGCUGCCAUUGCUAUUGCCUGUUGCACCAAGAGGUUACACACACAGUGAGUCAUUUCCAAAGUCUGGGAAACCCUAUUAUGGGGCACCUGUUUACUACAAAUUCAGUUACACUGUUCAUGUAAUCACGUCCCUUGUAAGGGAAGUAAUGUCGUUUCCUUUGCACUCUGAAUAGAGAGCUUACAAAAUCUAUGUUUAUUGCUUCUCCUGCAUUGUAAUAAAGCCAUACUGUGCCUUGAAGUUAAACUAUUACAUACUAUUACUAUAUAGUAAAGCAAUUUAAGUAGUAUAUGUGGAAUUUUAAAUUGUAUACGUAAAAGUUUUAAUUUUAGGUAAUUCUGGGUCAUAAAACACAUAAACCAUGUAAAAGUUUUAAUUUUAGGUAAUUCUGGGUCAUAGAACACAUAAACCAUGUGAUAAUUCAUUUGUAUAUCUUGUUCGGGUAAUUAACUCAAUAUUAUCAAUAAAUUCAGGUACAGCUAUACUUUAAUGAAGAAUGAAUUAUUUGCAAAUAAAAAAUUAUUACAGAAUAAUAUCUCAAGAAAAUGAAAGAGCCUUUUAGGGGUUCUCUAGGAAAUUCCUGGGAUAGCCUAGUGCUACCCCUUUUAUAAAAAUUAAAUUUUUAUUAUUAAAGUAAAAUAAUCCUUGUAAAAAUUUGGAAAAUAAAGAUAUUGUGAAUAAAAAACAAAAAUCAGUCAGAAACCUACAUCCUAGCAAUAAUUGGUGUUAACAUUUCU